rnacentral:rRNA from 1 species
GAUGAACGCUGGCGGCGUGCCUAAUACAUGCAAGUCGAGCGAACAGAUGAGAAGCUUGCUUCUCUGAUGUUAGCGGCGGACGGGUGGGUAACACGUGGGUAACCUACCUAUAAGACUGGGAUAACUCCGGGAAACCGGGGCUAAUACCGGAUAAUAUUUUGAACCGCAUGGUUCAAUAGUGAAAGACGGUUUCAGCUGUCACUUAUAGAUGGACCCGCGCCGUAUUAGCUAGUUGGUAAGGUAACGGCUUACCAAGGCGACGAUACGUAGCCGACCUGAGAGGGUGAUCGGCCACACUGGAACUGCGACACGGUCCAGACUCCUACGGGAGGCAGCAGUAGGGAAUCUUCCGCAAUGGGCGAAAGCCUGACGGAGCAACGCCGCGUGAGUGAUGAAGGUCUUCGGAUCGUAAAACUCUGUUGUUAGGGAAGAACAAAUUUGUUAGUAACUGAACAAGUCUUGACGGUACCUAACCAGAAAGCCACGGCUAACUACGUGCCAGCCGCCGCCGUAA